rnacentral:lncRNA from 1 species
GGAUACUUAAGCUACAGUGAUCCCCGCUAAUAAUGCCACGUCACCUCGGUUACUGUGGAUAAACUCACGUUAGUUCGAAACCUAGUUCGAAUUUCAAAUUUAAAACCGAGGCAAACAAUAAAAGUUUUAAAAUAUUGAACAAAAAUGUCCGGUGUGUGACCAAUAUUGCUAAAGUAAUUAUAUUGAAGAAAGCAUAAUUUUACAAAGUGCCUAAGUGCUUUAAACUAAAUAAAACAGAAAAGAAAAAGAAAUAAAAGAAAACAGAAAGCAAACUAACAAAAAAGGAGAAAGGCCCCACUGAGCUUCGGCCCAGCAGGCCGGCCCAUUCGGCCACACCGACCGGCCCAACCCCUCCCCUCGAUAACCCCACCAGGAGAAACCCUAACUUACCCACUCCCCAAUCCCCACUCCCCCCACUCUUCCCUCACUCCCCCGAUCUGGAUCGAGAUCGGGGUGACCACGCCACCGCCCCGGAUCGCUGUCGCCGUUGCCUUCUCGCCCCCCUCGCCUCGCGCAACCCCCACCUGAAGCCGACGCCACCCGUCUCCGACCCUGUCGCCCUCGCUUGCCGCGACGACCGCACGCGGGCGCCUCGGAGCUCGCCGACCCCGCCCCGCACCAAGACGCCACCUCGCCGGCCUGCCUCCUCUACGCCGUCGUCGCCAUCUUCCUCCUCAACCCCCGUUGCCUAGACCCCACGCUCCCAUGGUGAGCUUCUACGCCGAACGCGCCGUCCCUUGUCCCCCUUUCGACCUCGUCGGCCUAGUCGCCGCCGCCCCUGUAGUUCGUCCCGCGCCUCUAUGUUCCGCCCCUGCCCGCGUGUCCCCGCGGCCCGUGCGCGCCGUGGCCGCGCCAUGCCUCACUCCGGGGACGCGCUCGCCGUGCCCGCGACCUCCCGUGGCCGCGCCCGGAGUUCUGGUCCCCUGCGCUUGCUCCACUCCCUCCGCGCCCUGGCCGGACCCACCUGCACCCAGCCGCCCGUGCCUACUCCCGCCGCCACUCCCGCUGCUGCACGGCUCCGCCGCCCUACGCCACUUCGGUCGGCUGUGCCUCGCCGGCGCCAAACCCCGAGCCCCACCCCGUGGCUGGCCUUGCCCAAUGCCUAGUCGGGCUCACGCCCGCACCAGCACCGCCCUGUGCCCGCUAAGGCCUCCGUGCCUUUAACAUCUGGGGCCGCCCCAGAACGUUUAAAAAAAAGAAGAAUUAGAAAAAUAUUAAUUAAUUAAUUAAUUAAUUAGAUAAUUAAUUAACUUAAUUAGAUAUGCUAAUUAACCUGAUUAACUCUGAUUAGAUAACCUAAUGAUUAAUUAACUAGUUAAUUAGGUUUAGUUGAACUAUGACUAUGACAAGUGGGACCCACACAUAAGUUUGACUAAGUCAACAGGACUGUUGACUGCUGACUGGGCCUGUUGACCGGGCUGUUGACCCAGUCAAUGGCCCCAUCUGUCAGGUUGACCAGUCAACUCCGUUGACUGCUGACGUCAGCAUGACAUCAUGCUGAUGUCAUAAAUCCAUUUUCGAAUUAAAUUAAAUAGUUAAUUAAAUUCCAGAAAUUAAUAAAAUCUUUAGAAAAUCAUAUCUUUUAAACCGUAACUCGGAUUAAAUUAUUUUCAACAUGAAAUUUGCUCAGAACGACGAGAUGAAUCCAAAAACGCAGCCCGUUCGUCCGCCACGCAUCCCUAACCUAUCGAACUCGCAACUUUCCCCCUCCGGCUCCUCUGCCGAAAACACGAAACACCGGGGAUACUUUCCCGGAUGUUUCCCCCCUUCACCGGCAUCACCUCAUACCGCGUUAGGGCACGCCUAGCAUCACGCUUUGCUUCGUCAUGCAUCUGUUUGCAUUGUAUUCAUUGUUUCUUCCCCCUCUUCUUCCGCUAGACACCGAGACCAACGCUGCUGCUGCCCUGUUCGACUACGGAGUUGACGACCCCUCUCUCUUGCCAGAGCAACCAGGCAAGCCCCCCCCCUUGAUCACCAGAUAUCGCCUAUUCUCCUCUAUAAUGCUUGCAUUAGAAUAGUGUAGCAUGUUACUGCUUUCCGUUAAUCCUAUUCUGAUGCAUAGCCUGACAUUGUUGCUACAUCUGUUGAUACCUUACCUGCAAUCCUAAAUACUGAGUAUAGGAUGCUAGUUUAUCAUCAUUGGCCCUACAUUCUUGUCAGUCUGCCUUGCUAUACUAUUGGGCCGUGAUCACUCGGGAGGUGAUCACGGGUAUAUACUAUACAUACAUACAUACUGUACAGAUUGUGACUAAAGUUGGGUCAGCUCGAUGAGUACCCGCAAGUGAUUCUGAUGAGGGGGCUGAAAGGACAGGCGGCUCCUUCCCGGUAGAGGUGGGCCUGGGUUCCCGGCGGCCCCCGACUGUUACUUUGUGGCGGAGCGACAGGGCAGGUUGAGACCACCUAGGAGACAGGUGGGCCUGGCCCUGUUCGGCGUUCACGGAUACUUAACACGCUUAACGAGAUCUUGGUAUUUGAUCUGAGUCUGGCUACUGGCCUAUACGCACUAACCCACUACGCGGGAACAAUUAUGGGCACUCGACGUCGUGGUAUCAGCCGAAGCCUUCUUGACGUCAGCGACGGAGCGGCGCGCGCCGGAUUGGACUGGAAUGCCUACUCUUGUAUAAGAGAGGCUAGGUCUGCUUCCGGCCACCCUCGCAACGUGCAGGUGUGCAAUGGGCGAUGGGCCCAGACCCCUGCGCGCAUAGGAUUUAGACCGGCGUGUUGACCUAUCUGUUGUGCCUAGGUGGGGCUGCGACGUGUUGAUCUUCCGAGGCCGGGCAUGACCCAGGAAAGUGUGUCCGGCCAAAUGGGAUCGAGCGUGUUGGGUUAUCUGGUGCACCCCUGCUGGGAAGUUAAUCUAUUCGAAUAGCGUGUCCCUCGGUAAAAGGACGAACCGGAGUUGUACCUUGACCUUAUGACAACUAGAACCGAAUACUUAAUAAAACACACCCUUCCAAGUGCCAGAUACAACCCGGUGAUCGCUCUCUAAUAGGGCGACAAGGAGAGGAUCGCCGGGUAGGAUUAUGCUAUGCGAUGCUACUGGAGAUGCUACUUGGAGAUGCUACUUGGAGAUGCUACUUGGAGGACUUCAAUCUACUCUCUUCUACAUGCUGCAAGACGGUGGCUGCCAGAAGCGUAGUCUUCGAUAGGACUAGCUAUCCCCCUCUUAUUCUGGCAUUCUGCAGUUCAGUCCACUGAUAUGGCCUCCUUACACAUAUACCCAUGCAUAUGUAGUGUAGUUCCUUGCUUGCGAGUACUUUGGAUGAGUACUCACGGUUGCUUUCUCCCCCCUUUUCCCCCCUUUCCUUUCUUUCUGGUUGUCGCAACCAGAUGCUGGACUCCAGGAGCCAGACGCCACCGUCGACGACGACCCCUACUACACUGGAGGUGCCUACUACUACGUGCAGCCCGCUGACGACGACCAGCAGUAGUUGGGAGGAUCCCAGGCAGGAGGCCUGCGCCUCUUUCGAUCUGUAUCCCAGUUUGUGCUAGCCUUCUUAAGGCAAACUUGUUUAACUUAUGUCUGUACUCAGAUAUUGUUGCUUCCGCUGACUCGUCUAUGAUCGAGCACUUGUAUUCGAGCCCUCGAGGCUCCUGGCUUGUAUUACGAUGCUUGUAUGACUUAUUUAUGUUUUAGAGUUGUGUUGUGAUAUCUUCCCGUGAGUCCCUGAUCUUGAUCGUACACAUUUGCGUGCAUGAUUAGUGUACGAUUGAAUCGCGGGCGUCACAAGUUGGUAUCAUAGCCGACUGCCUGUAGGAAUCCCUCUUCCACACUCCUUGGCCGAAGUCGAGUCUAGUCACUACAAAACUUUUACUAACUUGGUUGUGUGCCUUACGGGCCCACGUCGCCAUUGGGUGGUAUUAGGAUCUUUUACUUCUCGACCUUUACUCUGGGGCUCUGAACUCUCUCCUACUCGGGUUAAAUGAAUUUUGCUAAAUCUAACAUUAGGAUCUCGUUAUCACUUUCACCCGGAGAGCCCCUUAUUACUGAUGAUCGUCUGCUGCACGUGAAGACCCUGAAGAUACUCUCCGCUGUUAACCCGAGAACUUGUGUUCAUCGCGUUUGCAAUUCCUCUUCCACCGUAAACCCUUAUGGAUAACUACUUGCAGUUGUUAUUCUUACCUUCAUCCCCAGUUGGUCUUGUUAUUACAAGAUACCCUGAAAAACUCGUCGUUGUUUCGAUAAUCCUUUGAGCUUACUGCCUUGUUGUUCUUUGUCACCUGAAUACCCCUAUGGUUAAUUCUCGCACUUAUCGAGUAUCCGCUCAUCCCCCAGUUGUUCAUGUGUUACACAAAAGUCUUCAAAAUGCUAUUUGAACUUCCGAAAAUCCUGAGUCGCCUAUUGCACUUGAAAUUCUUGCUUGCUGGCAUUAUGGUUAAUCCCAUAAGUCCCGUAGUCUUAUUGACAUUCCUUGUCAUUAUCAUUUUGAGUCUGUUGACUCAAUAUGUUUGCGAAUACACGCAAUCAUCAUUGAUAUAAAUUACCUUUCCGGCUGAGCUGCCAUUCUUUUAACUGGAAUUAGUUCUCGACCAAUCCAAUUGUCGUUGAUUGUACCCUAAGGCUAUUCAACUUAUCCAUCCCUAAUCAGAGCAUUGCUUCUGAUCCCUUGAUUUGGAAAUCAUAAUUCCUUUGCAUUUGACAAUUGAGUUAGUCAGUUGUUUCUAUAAUCUGAUCUCCUUGUAUUCUUAUUCCUCUAGUUGAGUACCGAUGCUCAUGUCAGAUCCCUUGUGGACCACCAGAUCCUUUGUUGGAUUUUAUCUGACAACGCCCUUCAUAUUCAAUAACCUUGUGAGCCUUUCCAUGGGUAUAUAAUGCCUUUGGUAAUUUGUAACCUCUACUUUGAUAACCAUACUCUAGUUUCGAGCUUGUAUUAUCUACUCCGAAGCUUGUGGUACAUUUUUCUAAGAAGCCCUUAUGGGUUGAACAUAUGCCUUCUCUAAACCGUGUGAACCCGAAAGUUUUCACGAGUCAUACCAUUCUGGUGUUUUUACCAGAUAAUUUUCUGCUCUACAACUUCUUCAAAAAACGAGAAGUAAAUGAUAGGUUAGGCAUUGAAGAAGUGGGAGUCGACCUUGAACUUUGUGUUCAUGCCCAUGGACACGAUGCAGAUCUUAUCAUGGAAGCUUCUCUUAAAUUAAUUAUCCCCUUGGUAUAAGUUCAUCUUAUAUCUGGGAUUUGAUCUUUUGCAAUCGUGGUUCCGGCCAUAUUGUUCUUCUUUGAUCCCGUUUCUCGGACAAGUUAAAUUGCUUGUCUUCUGCACAUCAUUUCACCUGUCAAGCUUCUAUUCUAGUCUACUUCGAGUAUUACCCCCUGGUGUCUCAAGGAUAUCAACCCAUUGCACUUCAUCUUAUGAAUUUCUGACGAAGUAAUACCUUUCCCGUCAUAGUCACUCCACGGGUUCUAGGUUGUCGUCAACCGAAAAUACCGGGUUGUGACUCGAAUCAACACUGAGAUUAGUACUCCCAGUACAUUGUUGUUGAGAAUUUUAAUACUCCAUCAAGUCAUUCUUAGCCUGAUCGGCUAUAUUGUUAUCAUGCUAAAUUUUAAUUGUGCUACCUGGUCCUUAUUCCCGGAGCACAACUUUCGACGAUAGCUAGCUUACGGCGAUCGUCCUCGGCAUAUCAUUUCGCCUUGAACAACAAUCUUUGAUUUCAAGUUUGUAUUGUACUAGUGGUUUCAAUAACCUUUCGCUUCAUCAUUCCCUUGACUUGUUGUCAUCGCCGAUCAAUUACACCUUCAUGAAAUCUCUCGACAAUUGUGUCGGAUCACCUUCAACACUUUGACUUCUUCCGAGAUGUUAACUGUGUUCAUGAUGAGAAAUACCCUCCUUGCCCUCGAUGAUUUUAUUAUCAUCGACAACACCCUUGACUUCCUUUCAUCGCGAGCUUGUCCACAUUAUGAAUACAACCUGCUCUCCAGCUAAUGUUGUGUUCUGCCUUGAAGUAUUACUGUCUUUUCUAUCAAGAACGUGGUGAGGAUUGCUCCACCUCUUAAGAAUUCUUGAAAUAGUGAUACUUCUCCCCAUCACCUUCUUUCUUGGUCCCCGUGUUGUUUCUAACCGGAAUACUAACAAUUGAACUAUGAUGUGUGAAUUCAAAAUUCCUAGCAACCCUAUUGCUUUGAAGUGAAUGGUCAAUAACUCCAUUCUAAGUCUUUUGGUUAUUGAAUCGCCAUUCUAACAUUGAUCAUGCUACCUAAGCCCGUAUUUCAGGGUGCACCUUUCAACUGUUGUUUACUUGGGUAUGUUUUCCUCGAGCAUAUCUCAUUAUAUCAUUUGAUCUGACAAAUGUUAUCUCCUUGUUCACAUAAUUGUGGAAAUCCAUCCUUUGAAAUUCUCAAUGAAUUGUUGCCGAGUCAAUCAGCCACCUCCUCACCUCUCCUUGAUUUAAUGAAGAACUCUUGUUUUGGAACUCACUUCCAUAGUUCAAUUCUCUAGAAUCUUACAAUGUCAUCUCGACAACUUGUGUUGCACCUUCCUUCUUCGGCGUCAUGAGUCUAAGGUAUCCUGACACCAAUCAGAACUGAAUCUCGGUCAGAUAUGAUGGUUGGAACAUAUUUCCAUGAGAUAUAACAUGGGCCUUUAUAUGACUCGGUAAUAUGAUGUCAUGCCUAGCACCCCCCCCCCUUAUUGGAGGACCUAUCAUUAUAAUUUCUUUCACAAGGAUAACCAUUCUUCCUGGAGGAAAUUAUAAGACUUAUUUUAUAAGUUGCUCCUAAUGGAUCAUUUGUGUAUCCAAAGUCCGACCCUUGAUUGAAACACCAUCUCAAUGCUACCUCGAAGCAUGACUAUGAUACCCCGCUCUUCAACAAGAACAUUGGAGGCGUGAUGCUAAAUAUUUCUUGGUCAGUUACCCAAACACCGUUGUAUGGGUAACAUCAUAAUUAAUCCUUGCCUCUUAUCUGAAUGUUGGGUACUUGCUCUCCUACCCUAUAUGCCAUGCUCUGCUUGUACAUGGGAAGGAUAUACUCCUUAUAAUUGUGUGUAAUCACAAUUUUCCUUUCCAUUCUUUCGUUUAUCCUUUCCUGAAUCUGACUUAACUAAGUAGAGAUAAUUCCCUGCUUAGGUAGGCACCUUGUUGUAACAUUCUGUCUGUAAGAUCCUGUUACUAUUGUUGAUGACAUUCCGGUAACCACCGAUGGGUGAUAACUUUGCCAAUUGGUUCACCUCGUUCAACAAGCAAGAAAAAUUGCUCUCUUAAUUCCCCGUCCUUGGUACCGACAUUGUUGCCGACAUAGCUGACAAGCUAUUCACUGGCAUGCCUCCUUGUCUCCACUUUGCAAGAUGUCACCACCCUUCCUACUUUCAACCCACAUGGUGGGCCCAUGACGCACAGGUCCACUGGAUCGAAACCUGACUCUCCUUUACAACCCGAAUUCUAAUGUAUCCUUUGCACCUAGCUUCGUAUGUGAUUCACGAGCUGAAUGCUAUACCAUUAUUCAUCCUGGAAUCAAACACCAUGUUAUUCUCGUUGUUCAAACCCCCAUUCUAGCUUCUGUCUAGUCAUGAAUGGUUGCCUACCCGUUUGGAACUUUGGUACCAUUGUAUAUUGCACUCAACGAAUUCUCUGAAAUACAACUCGUUGGGUACCUUGUGUAUUUCCCAUUCCGUUCACUGUCAGAUGCCUAGCCUUGUGGAGAUGCGUUCUUCCAGAGUUUUUCUCCUUGGUCGCGUUCGUAGGACGAUGGAGAUCCCGAAGAAAGGAUGACGAUUUGAUCAUGGUGCCUUGAAGCAGAGAAAUGAAGACAUCAACGAAAGAGAUCAACCUCUUCGAAAGGGGAGCCAAGACCAAGAAGACUCGUUAGGUUUUUCGCUACCAGCACCUUUCCCCCUUUCACUACCUCUUAAAUCUCGGGACGAGAUUUCUUGUAGUGGAGGAGACUUGUGACGCCCGGAUACUUAAGCUACAGUGAUCCCCGCUAAUGAUGCCACGUCACCUCGGUUACCGUGGAUAAACUCGCGUUAGUUCGAAACCUAGUUCGAAUUUCAAAUUUAAAACCGAGGCAAACAAUAAAAGUUUUAAAAUAUUAAACAAAAAUGUUCGGUGUGUGACCAAUAUUGCUAAAGUAAUUAUAUUGAAGAAAGCAUAAUUUUACAAAGUGCCUAAGUGCUUUAAACUAAAUAAAACAGAAAAGAAAAAGAAAUAAAAGAAAACAGAAAGCAAA